UAUGUAACUGAUUAUAUUACAAAGAACUGCAAGAACAAGACAUUUAUUUUUCACUUCUAGGAAUUUGAAUGAGGAGAUCUCAUUACCCAGGAUCAGAAUGUGUCUGGCUUGGUGAAUACAAUGACAAAUGGAUUCUUCAAAUCCCUAAUCCACAAGCAUUUCAGAGAGAGAGAUGGUUCAGCAGCACAAGAAAGAUGUACUUUUCCUGGAAGUCUCCUGACUCAACUCUUAUCCUGUACCUGGCAGUGAUUCAGUAUCAUGGCAGUUAUAAUUGAUCAAAAACAUACCUCUGUUAGCAAACAGGAGGAAGCUGGGCAGCAGCACCAGGAUGGUGUUGGACUCUGUGAGUGCCAAGGUGGAGGGUGGAAAUGAAAAACCUGAAGUCUGGCUCUGUGAUGGCCUUCUGCAUACCUGUGGGCAAGUCACUCCCACUGUCAUGUUGCUCCAGAAGUCUCCCCACAUCUAGUCCAAGAGAUUCCUAAAGGAUUAAAUAACUGAAACUUUCACAGCCUUGUGCUCACCAUCAUGAGCUUAUGUGCCAGAGAUGAUCCUGAUACACUGUCUUCACACACUAAGAUAGGGUAAGUGAUAU